CGGUUCGAGUCCGCUUACCUCCACUGGUCCACUACCUGAUAACUCAAAUUGGAGAUUGUUAUUUGUUAAAUGUGAUUUAGAUGUUGUUCAACUGAAUGAACCUAGCUUCCUGUCAUCCCUGAAUUAAUUUUAGGCUGAUAAGACGCUGGGCUCACUGAAUGUUCUAAAUGACAUUCAGUUUGUUCAGCA
rnacentral:misc_RNA from 1 species